rnacentral:rRNA from 1 species
GGGUUGUGAGGUUAAGCGACUAAGCGUACACGGUGGAUGCCCUGGCAGUCAGAGGCGAUGAAGGACGUGCUAAUCUGCGAUAAGCGCCGGUAAGGUGAUAUGAACCGUUAUAACCGGCGAUUUCCGAAUGGGGAAACCCAGUGUGACUCGUCACACUAUCAUUAACUGAAUCCAUAGGUUAAUGAGGCGAACCGGGGGAACUGAAACAUCUAAGUACCCCGAGGAAAAGAAAUCAACCGAGAUUCCCCCAGUAGCGGCGAGCGAACGGGGAGGAGCCCAGAGCCUGAAUCAGCAUGUGUGUUAGUGGAAGCGUCUGGAAAGGCGCGCGAUACAGGGUGACAGCCCCGUACACAAAAGCGCAUGUGCUGUGAGCUCGAUGAGUAGGGCGGGACACGUGGUAUCCUGUCUGAAUAUGGGGGGACCAUCCUCCAAGGCUAAAUACUCCUGACUGACCGAUAGUGAACCAGUACCGUGAGGGAAAGGCGAAAAGAACCCCGGCGAGGGGAGUGAAAAAGAACCUGAAACCGUGUACGUACAAGCAGUGGGAGCACAGGUUUACCUGUGUGACUGCGUACCUUUUGUAUAAUGGGUCAGCGACUUAUAUUCUGUAGCAAGGUUAACCGAAUAGGGGAGCCGGAGGGAAACCGAGUCUUAAUUGGGCGUUAAGUUGCAGGGUAUAGACCCGAAACCCGGUGAUCUAGCCAUGGGCAGGUUGAAGGUUGGGUAACACUAACUGGAGGACCGAACCGACUAAUGUUGAAAAAUUAGCGGAUGACCUGUGGCUGGGGGUGAAAGGCCAAUCAAACCGGGAGAUAGCUGGUUCUCCCCGAAAGCUAUUUAGGUAGCGCCUCGUGAAUUCAUCUCCGGGGGUAGAGCACUGUUUCGGCUAGGGGGCCAUCCCGGCUUACCAACCCGAUGCAAACUGCGAAUACCGGAGAAUGUUAUCACGGGAGACACACGGCGGGUGCUAACGUCCGUCGUGAAGAGGGAAACAACCCAGACCGCCAGCUAAGGUCCCAAAGUCAUGGUUAAGUGGGAAACGAUGUGGGAAGGCCCAGACAGCCAGGAUGUUGGCUUAGAAGCAGCCAUCAUUUAAAGAAAGCGUAAUAGCUCACUGGUCGAGUCGGCCUGCGCGGAAGAUGUAACGGGGCUAAACCAUGCACCGAAGCUGCGGCAGCGACACUGUGUGUUGUUGGGUAGGGGAGCGUUCUGUAAGCCUGCGAAGGUGGCCUGUGAGGGUUGCUGGAGGUAUCAGAAGUGCGAAUGCUGACAUAAGUAACGAUAAAGCGGGUGAAAAGCCCGCUCGCCGGAAGACCAAGGGUUCCUGUCCAACGUUAAUCGGGGCAGGGUGAGUCGACCCCUAAGGCGAGGCCGAAAGGCGUAGUCGAUGGGAAACGGGUUAAUAUUCCCGUACUUGGUGUUACUGCGAAGGGGGGACGGAGAAGGCUAUGUUGGCCGGGCGACGGUUGUCCCGGUUUAAGCGUGUAGGUGUGUGUUCCAGGUAAAUCCGGUUCACUUUAACACUGAGGCGUGACGACGAGGCACUACGGUGCUGAAGCAACAAAUGCCCUGCUUCCAGGAAAAGCCUCUAAGCAUCAGGUAACAUCAAAUCGUACCCCAAACCGACACAGGUGGUCAGGUAGAGAAUACCAAGGCGCUUGAGAGAACUCGGGUGAAGGAACUAGGCAAAAUGGUGCCGUAACUUCGGGAGAAGGCACGCUGACACGUAGGUGAAGUGAUUUACUCAUGGAGCUGAAGUCAGUCGAAGAUACCAGCUGGCUGCAACUGUUUAUUAAAAACACAGCACUGUGCAAACACGAAAGUGGACGUAUACGGUGUGACGCCUGCCCGGUGCCGGAAGGUUAAUUGAUGGGGUCAGCGCAAGCGAAGCUCCUGAUCGAAGCCCCGGUAAACGGCGGCCGUAACUAUAACGGUCCUAAGGUAGCGAAAUUCCUUGUCGGGUAAGUUCCGACCUGCACGAAUGGCGUAAUGAUGGCCAGGCUGUCUCCACCCGAGACUCAGUGAAAUUGAACUCGCUGUGAAGAUGCAGUGUACCCGCGGCAAGACGGAAAGACCCCGUGAACCUUUACUAUAGCUUGACACUGAACAUUGAGCCUUGAUGUGUAGGAUAGGUGGGAGGCUUUGAAGUGUGGACGCCAGUCUGCAUGGAGCCGACCUUGAAAUACCACCCUUUAAUGUUUGAUGUUCUAACGUGGACCCGUAAUCCGGGUUGCGGACAGUGUCUGGUGGGUAGUUUGACUGGGGCGGUCUCCUCCUAAAGAGUAACGGAGGAGCACGAAGGUUGGCUAAUCCUGGUCGGACAUCAGGAGGUUAGUGCAAUGGCAUAAGCCAGCUUGACUGCGAGCGUGACGGCGCGAGCAGGUGCGAAAGCAGGUCAUAGUGAUCCGGUGGUUCUGAAUGGAAGGGCCAUCGCUCAACGGAUAAAAGGUACUCCGGGGAUAACAGGCUGAUACCGCCCAAGAGUUCAUAUCGACGGCGGUGUUUGGCACCUCGAUGUCGGCUCAUCACAUCCUGGGGCUGAAGUAGGUCCCAAGGGUAUGGCUGUUCGCCAUUUAAAGUGGUACGCGAGCUGGGUUUAGAACGUCGUGAGACAGUUCGGUCCCUAUCUGCCGUGGGCGCUGGAGAACUGAGGGGGGCUGCUCCUAGUACGAGAGGACCGGAGUGGACGCAUCACUGGUGUUCGGGUUGUCAUGCCAAUGGCACUGCCCGGUAGCUAAAUGCGGAAGAGAUAAGUGCUGAAAGCAUCUAAGCACGAAACUUGCCCCGAGAUGAGUUCUCCCUGAGACUUAAAGUCUCCUGAAGGAACGUUGAAGACGACGACGUUGAUAGGCCGGGUGUGUAAGCGCAGCGAUGCGUUGAGCUAACCGGUACUAAUGAACCGUGAGGCUUAACCUUACAACGCCGAAG